rnacentral:lncRNA from 1 species
AAAGGGCAUGGACUCUUUAGGAAACUGGGAAACCCCAAAGAAGUAGUUCACUAGGGAUACACCUCUGCAAGUGACCCAGGCCCUGCUUCUGGAAUAUUCUUUGCUUCCUGGACCAUCAAACUGUGAGAAGCCUCCUCAUCACAUUCCACUACCACCAAAGAAGCUGCUCCUGUGACCAGGCCUUUCCUAUGAUGAUAAGCUAAAUCUCCCUGAAACCAAACGCCAAAAAAGACUGGUCAUCCUUUCAAUCCAGUCGGGUAGUUGAUCAAAGCAACACAAAAUUAACCACUAGCAUGUAUAUAUAGAUUAUUUUAAUCUGUGCAACAGUCUACUUCCAAGGACUAAAUAUCACAAUUAUUUUAAUUAAUUUAUUGAUUAUGCUGUGUUUCUUUUUUUUAUAUAUAUAUAAGUACAUUUAUCUGUAUGGAUGAAUGCACCUAAGCCUGGGUAUAUACGGAGACUGGAGGAGGGACCCGGGUAUACUUAUGCUGGUCUAUCACUCUUUCUUACUAUCCUGAGACAGGAUCUGUCACUGAGCCUGUGUCUAAGUUGGUGGCUUGUGAGACCCAGUCUUCCUCUUGUCUCUAUGCUUUAUAAUGCUGGGGUUAUAGAUGAGUUUGGACCAUGCAGGGCAUCGUUUGGGGAUUUGAACCCAGGUUCUUACACUUGUCCAAUAACCCCUCUUAACCACUCACUGAGCCAUCUCUCCAGCUCCUGACAGUAUUUCUAAGUGAUCAAAAUUAUUCAGUGGGUGUUUUUCAAGUUUACUGAAGAAAAUGGUGGUUUUCUGAAGUAAUGUAGAAGAUGGUUACGUAGUCUUGGAAUCAUGGAGUCUUAAGUGGAGAGAAGAUUUAGAUAUUUACAUAAUCCCUUCCAUGUAUCUCUAAGAAAGCAAGGAGCCAACUAUGACCCUCUAAAGGAGACUGCUUGUGACUGCAGCUGAAGAGGAAUUCUAUCUCUGCUGGGAGCUGUUCAGAACUGUAGACCCUUCCAUCACACAGGGCUGGAGGAUUACCAGUAUUCCACACAGUUUCUCUGGAGCCCAAAUCAUGGCAUGGCCCUGCCACAUGCAGUGUGGUAGCCAGGGGUUGAACCUUUAAAAUUUUAGCACUUAACUCUAAAUCCUUAAUCACAGAAAGUAGAAAAGCACAAUGUACUAUUGACACCAUAGUGUUUAACUAUAAUUUU